rnacentral:misc_RNA from 1 species
GGUACGUCCAGGAAGCCAGAGAGAAUCAUGUCAAGAAGAAGGUCGAGGAAGCUCUGCGCAGCAAAAUGAAGCAAAAGGCACUCAAAGAAUGUGACCAGUACUCUGCAAAAUAUGCUGAAUGUGCUGUAGGAAAAACUAUAUCUGUUAUCUGGCAUUGUCGGCAACAAGCAAAAGAGUUGAACGAAUGCCUUCAUCAAUUUACUAGUGACAGUGUCUUGGAAGAAAUGAAGAAGAGCUACAUGCUUGAGGGAGGAAAACAGGGAUAGGAACAAGAUCUG